GCCGAAAUAGCUCAGUUGGCAGAGCGUUAGACUGAAGAUCUAAAGGUCCCUGGUUCAAGCCCGGGUUUCGGCA
rnacentral:tRNA from 1 species